AGCAAGAAGCCUCUUGGAGAAUAUGAUGGGACUUACCCUGGAUCAGCUCAGCGUGCAACCGGGGUUUGGAGGGCAGAGUGGAGUCGAGAGACCAGAGGGGAGGCUGCCACACUGGUCCGGUACGAGCUGAGAGUGGCUGAGACGAGGCGGCCACAGAGCAGUGCUUAACAUUUUCACAACUGUUUUUUGGGGAGCGGGGAAAGCAGUAAGGACUUCGCGAUAACCCUCACAUCCCCACCACGCGGGGAUGAGCACCUGGAAAAACAGCCUCCUGGCCCUGUGUCUGUGCAGACGGACAGAGAGACGGAGGGAUCAAAGAUGUCGAUCUUUGCUUCCUUACAAAAAGGAGGUAGAUUUUUCCGACAGCCACCGGAGCCGUGCUACCUGCUUCGCAACCAACAGGUCGUAAGCGUCUCUUUCGAAGAAUAAACGAAGCGCAUCACUGAUUCACUGUA